rnacentral:rRNA from 1 species
UAGAGUUUGAUCCUGGCUCAGGACGAACGCUGGCGGCGUGCCUAAUACAUGCAAGUCGAGUGAACAGAGAAGGAGCUUGCUCCUUUGACGUUAGCGGCGGACGGGUGAGUAACACGUGGGCAACCUGCCUUAUAGUUUGGGAUAACUCCGGGAAACCGGGGCUAAUACCGAAUAAUCUAUUUCACCUCAUGGUGAAAUACUAAAAGACGGCAUCUCGCUGUCGCUAUAGGAUGGGCCCGCGGCGCAUUAGCUAGUUGGUGAGGUAACGGCUCACCAAGGCGACGAUGCGUAGCCGACCUGAGAGGGUGAUCGGCCACACUGGGACUGAGACACGGCCCAGACUCCUACGGGAGGCAGCAGUAGGGAAUCUUCCACAAUGGGCGAAAGCCUGAUGGAGCAACGCCGCGUGAGUGAAGAAGGUUUUCGGAUCGUAAAACUCUGUUGUAAGGGAAGAACAAGUACAGUAGUAACUGGCUGUACCUUGACGGUACCUUAUUAGAAAGCCACGGCUAACUACGUGCCAGCAGCCGCGGUAAU